AAACUUACUUGGCGCCGGGACCAGGGUUAUCAAGAAUGCCAUGGCUCCAGGUGGAGACUCGCCUUUGCACUUCGGCGUGUUGAAGUCUGCGACGAUCCCUAAUCGGGCUCGCUUAGACGCGUAGGUUUUGCUAGUCGGGUGGUCUUCGGAUCAUCAUCAU
rnacentral:snRNA from 1 species